GAAUUGAGAAGUUUGCUGGAGGUAUCAGAAGUGCGAAUGCUGACAUGAGUAACGAUAAUGCGGGUGAAAAACCCGCACGCCGGAAGACCAAGGGUUCCUAUCCCAUGUUAAUCAGGGUAGGGUAAGUCGACCCCUAAGGCGAGGCCGAAAGGCGUAGUCGAUGGGAAACGGAUUAAUAUUUCCGUACUUGGUAUAAUUGCGAUGGGGGGACGGAGAAGGCUAAGCAAGCAUGGCGAUGGUUGUCCAUGUGAAAGUGAGUAGGCUAGUGACUUAGGUAAAUCCGGGUUGCCUUUAAGGCCGAGAACUGAUGACGAGCCCUCUUUUGGGUGAAGUGGUUGAUGCCAUGCUUCCAGGAAAAACUUCUAAGCUUCAGAUAUACGGGAACCGUACCCCAAACCGACACAGGUGGUCAGGUAGAGAAUACUAAGGCGCUUGAGAGAACUCGGGUGAAGGAACUAGGCAAAAUGGUACCGUAACUUCGGGAGAAGGUACGCCGAUUUUGGUGAUGGGAUUUACUCCUUAAGCUGAGAUUGGUCGAAGAUACCAGGUGGCUGCGACUGUUUAUUAAAAACACAGCACUCUGCAAACACGAAAGUGGACGUAUAGGGUGUGACGCCUGCCCGGUGCUUGAAGGUUAAUUGAUGGGGUUAGCGUAAGCGAAGCUCUUGAUCGAAGCCCAAGUAAACGGCGGCCGUAACAAUAACGGUCCUAAGGUAGCGAAAUUCCUUGUCGGGUAAGUUCCGACCUGCACGAAUGGCGUAACGAUGGCCACACUGUCUCCACCCGAGACUCAGUGAAAUUGAAAUCGCAGUGAAGAUGCUGUGUACCCGCGGCUAGACGGAAAGACCCCGUGAACCUUUACUACAGCUUGGCACUGAACAUUGAACCUACAUGUGUAGGAUAGGUGGGAGACUUUGAAGCAGCGACGCUAGUUGUUGUGGAGUCGUCCUUGAAAUACCACCCUUGUAGUUUUGAUGUUCUAACGUUGGCCCCUGAAUCGGGGUUACGGACAGUGCCUGGUGGGUAGUUUGACUGGGGCGGUCUCCUCCCAAAGAGUAACGGAGGAGCACGAAGGUUGGCUAAGUACGGUCGGACAUCGUACGGUUAGUGUAAUGGUAGAAGCCAGCUUAACUGCGAGACAGACACGUCGAGCAGGUACGAAAGUAGGUCAUAGUGAUCCGGUGGUUCUGAAUGGAAGGGCCAUCGCUCAACGGAUAAAAGGUACUCCGGGGAUAACAGGCUGAUACCGCCCAAGAGUUCAUAUCGACGGCGGUGUUUGGCACCUCGAUGUCGGCUCAUCACAUCCUGGGGCUGAAGCCGGUCCCAAGGGUAUGGCUGUUCGCCAUUUAAAGUGGUACGCGAGCUGGGUUUAGAACGUCGUGAGACAGUUCGGUCCCUAUCUGCCGUGGACGUUUGAGAUUUGAGAGGAGCUGCUCCUAGUACGAGAGGACCGGAGUGGACGAACCUCUGGUGUUCCGGUUGUCACGCCAGUGGCAUUGCCGGGUAGCUACGUUCGGACGGGAUAACCGCUGAAAGCAUCUAAGCGGGAAGCCUCCCUCAAGAUGAGAUCUCACUGGAACUUUAAGUUCCCUAAAGAGCCGUUGAAGACUACGACGUUGAUAGGCAGGGUGUGUAAGUGCUGUGAGGCAUUGAGCUAACCUGUACUAAUUGCUCGUGAGGCUUGACCAU
rnacentral:rRNA from 1 species